rnacentral:rRNA from 1 species
UACGUAGGGUGCAAGCGUUGUCCGGAAUUAUUGGGCGUAAAGAGCUCGUAGGCGGUUUGUUGCGUCGGCUGUGAAAUCCCGAGGCUCAACCUCGGGUCUGCAGUCGAUACGAGCAAACUAGAGUGUUGCAGGGGAGACUGGAAUUCCUGGUGUAGCGGUGAAAUGCGCAGAGUAUCUGGAGGAACACCGGUGGCGAAGGCGGCAUUCUGGACUGUAACUGACACUGAGGAACGAAAGCCAGGGGAGCAAACGGGG